UUUAAAAAUUUAAAUUGAAUUUAAAUAAUUAUUUAAUUUUAAAUUUUUUAUAAUUUUAAUUAAAAUAUUAAAAAUUUUAUUAAUUUAGAUGAAAUAAUUAUAUUUAUUAUAGUUUAAUAUUACUGUGAAGGAAUUUUAAAAAAUAUUUAAAAGAAAAAUUUUUUUGUACCUUGUGUAUCAGGGUUUAUUAAAUAAACUUUAAUAAUUUAAAUUUCUCGAAUUUAAAAGAGCUAAAUUAUUAUAUAUUUUAUUGUUUUAUAAAUAUUUAAAAUAAUAAUUUAGUAAUGAAAUGUUAUUCGUUUUUAAAUAUAUCUAGUUUUUUAAGAAAAAAAUUUAAUUUUUUUAAUAAAUAAAAUAAAUUUAAUUUUUAAUUUUAUUAAUUUAUUAUUAAAUAUUUUAAGGGAUAAGCUUUAAAAUAAAUUUUUAUAAUUAAAUAAUUUAUUUAUAUAAUUUAUAGAAUUAGAAAUUUUUAUUGUUAGAAAUUUAUUAAAAUUUGUUAUAUAUUGUAUUAAUAUUUAUAUUUAAAAUUUAAUUUUUUUAUUAAAAUAAAUAUUCUAAUGAAAAUUUAUAUAGAAAUAAUGAUAAAAUUAGUAUUAUAUAUAUAUGUAUAUAUAUAUAUAUAUAUAUAUGAAAGGUUAAAUAAAGGAAUUCGGCAAAUAUAUUUUUCACCUGUUUAUUAAAAACAUCUCUUUUUGAUAAUAAUUUAAAGUAGGGCCUGCCCACUGAAUAUAAUUUGAAGGGCCGCAGUAUUUUGACUGUGCAAAGGUAGCAUAAUCAUUAGUUUUUUAAUUGAAAGCUUGUAUGAAUGGUUUGAUGAGAAAAUUUCUUUCUAUAUUUAAUUUUUAAAUAAUUUUAUUUUUAAGUUAAAAAGCUUAAAUAUUAAUAAAAGACGAGAAGACCCUAUAGAGUUUAAUAUAAUUUAAUAUUUAAAAAUUUAGAAUUUAUUAUUAUAUAAUAUUAUCUUGUAUUUGAUUGGGGUGAUUAAAAAAUUAAAAUAACUUUUUUUAAAAAAAAACAUUAAUUUAUGAGUAUUUGAUCCAUAUAAAUGAUUAAAAGAAUAAAUUACCUUAGGGAUAACAGCGUUAUUUUUUUUUAGAGUUCUAAUCGAAAAAAGAGAUUGCGACCUCGAUGUUGGAUUAAAGUUAAUUUUAGGUGCAGAAGCUUAAAUAUUUGGUCUGUUCGACCAUUAAAACUUUACAUGAUCUGAGUUUAAACCGGUGUGAGCCAGGUUGGUUUCUAUCUUUAUUAAAUUAAUAAAUUUUAGUACGAAAGGACCGAAUUUAUAAUUUAUAAUUUUUUAUAUGAAUAUAAGUAAUUUAUUAUUUUGGCAGAAUAGUGCGUUAGAUUUAGGAUCUUUUUAUGU
rnacentral:rRNA from 1 species